UAUAUUAUGCCUGAUAAAAGGACUAUUUUGAUAAAGUAGAAUAUCAAGUUAUUUAAGCUUGUAAUAUAA
rnacentral:tRNA from 1 species